AACCGCUUAUAAAAGGGCGAGGCCUCCGCGUGUAGGCUACAUGAGAUGAGAGACUGUCGUGGUGGGGCCCUGAGGCGGAGGAGGAUUUCAUGGCGCUGAUCUUUCACUGCAGAAUGGAGGAUUUCAUGGCGCUGAUCUUUCACUGCAGAAUGGAGGAUUUCAUGGCGCUGAUCUUUCACUGCAGAAUGGAGGAUUUCAUGGCGCUGAUCUUUCACUGCAGAAUGAAUGAGGUGAUGAGCGCAUCGGAGUGCCACUAGGUGGAGGCUACCGCAGGUGUUCCCUUCAGACCAACAAGUUGCUGAGGACUUUUACAGAAAUGCUUAUCGUGUAGUAAUGGCCAAAAGUUGGCAAUUUGAAACUAAUGUUCUUUCUGGAAACUGAUUUAAUCGGUGAAUUGAGUAAACAAUUUAAAGGGGUUGUCCAGUUUCAGGGGGAAACGGAUAACGUGAUCUGCCUGCAAUAAACAAAUGAUUAUUAAUCACCUGGCCAGUCCCAUACUACUGCUCCAGUUUACCUGGCUGCAGUGGUGACUUUGACAAGUGAGUGACCUCAGCAGUGCACUGAGGAGACAGGACUGGAUGCAGCAGUCACAUGUCAAUGUAACAUCACCACUGCAGCUGGGUUACCCAGACAGUGUGGGAUCUGCCAAAUAAGUAGUAAUGGCUUUAUUGCAAGUGGACCCGCUGUCUGGCUUUAUUUUGAUACCAGACAACCCCAUUAGGUAGGUGAUCUUGGGAAGGAGCCUGGUAAGUGGAGAAAGGAGAUAUCAUAAAGGUUUAUAAUGACUUGCGGAACAUGGUUUUAUUAUUGGUGGGGAAUUUAAGGAUAAUUUUGCUUGUUGUAGAAAUGUUAAAUUUUAGCCCCAUUUCUUAACGCAAUACAUCAGUAGGAGAACCUCCUCCAGGGAUGGUAUAAGGUGGCUGCUUUGACACUGCUCCACUCUGGUCACUGGUCUGCUUGGUUUUGCCGCUCAGCCUGGCUUGCUUGCGAGUUGUGCUGCCACACCCCAGAGGAGCCUGGCAGCAGAUUACUCCCUAUUUAAAACACGUGCAUGCUCUGCGGCGUGUAUGGGACAAUCAUUUCAUGUGCGUUGCCAGCCUUACUUUAGUGCAACCAAUUGAACCAACAAGAUGCUGGCAAGAUGCAUGACAUCAUAUAGAAACCCAAAAAAAAGAAAUCCCGUAGGGACUCUCAUACACAAUAUAUAAAGCUUUAUUAAAUAAUUAUACAA